rnacentral:lncRNA from 1 species
ACGACCGUUCGAGGUCGGACUGCGCUGCCGCCGUCGCAACGUCGGCUAGGGAUGAUGUCUGAGGCCUUUUGGGGGGCCACGAAGGUUCGGCUCCAGACGUCGGUCUCUUCCUCGCCGCAUGUUGCCGAAUGUCGGCGUCUGUCAAUCUUACUCUCGGCGGCAUGCCUGCAAUUUCAACAAAGGAUUAGCACAAGUCCGAAGACAGAUGAAAAAACUAAAAAAUGACCGACAGACCGAACAGUACCUAAGCGGAGAACCAAACUCUGGCCGGCGUCAUACAGAGCUUGCUCGGUGACGAGCUCUCUCUGCUUUGGCACCGACACAUCUUUCAGUCAGUGAAAGUCCUCUCGAUCUCCAGCCUCCACCCGACUGUUUUCGUUCGGCUGAGUCUGAGGGUCGCCCCAGCAAGAAGGAAACCCCCAAGGUAGCGGAGAAGAAGCAAAGAAAAAAUAGUUCUUCCACCCGUGGAUCGACGAUGGAAGAUCGGUAAUGAACGAAUGACCCUUCCCAGAAUUGAAGAACCACCACCCUCGGACUUUCGGGUAGGGUCAGAGGAUGAAGAACGCCCGAAAGAGAGAGAUGCGGGGA